rnacentral:rRNA from 1 species
AUUAAACGCUGGCGGCAUGCCUUACACAUGCAAGUCGAACGGCAGCACGGGGGCAACCCUGGUGGCGAGUGGCGGACGGGUGAGUAAUACAUCGGAACGUGCCCUGGAGUGGGGGAUAACGCAGCGAAAGCUACGCUAAUACCGCAUAUUCUGUGAGCAGGAAAGCAGGGGAUCGCAAGACCUUGCGCUUUGGGAGCGGCCGAUGUCGGAUUAGCUAGUUGGUGGGGUAAAGGCCUACCAAGGCGACGAUCCGUAGCGGGUCUGAGAGGAUGAUCCGCCACACUGGGACUGAGACACGGCCCAGACUCCUACGGGAGGCAGCAGUGGGGAAUUUUGGACAAUGGGCGGAAGCCUGAUCCAGCCAUGCCGCGUGAGUGAAGAAGGCCUCGG